rnacentral:misc_RNA from 1 species
GAUGAACAUCUCUCUGAACAUAAAUCUACAACAAGAGAGGUCUUCAAGCCUCCUGUAUUGGUCAGAUCAGGUGGAGGAAUCCAUAAUUUUCUUUAUCAAUUGAAAUUUUCAACGCACGGUCCUUCUUCACCGCUGAAAGUUGAGGGAAGUAAUAUCCUUGGUAAACUUCAGAUAACAUGGCGUACAAAUAUGGGUGAACCUGGACGACUGCAAACACAACAGAUUUUGGGUUCUCCCAUUACUCGCAAGGAGCUUGAGUUGCAUGUUGUUGAGAUGCCAGAUGUUAUCAGAUUGGAGAGGCCUUUUACGUUACAUAUGCGUCUCACAACACAGAUUGAGA